AUGGCUGCGCGUCUCAUGCCUCCCGCCGUGGUCAUCCUGGCCUCGUUCCUCCUCCUCCUCUUCCUUGUCCAUGCGGUGGACGCGGCCGAGUGCGAGCCGGGGGCGUGCGGAAACUUCACCAUCAAGUACCCGUUCUGGCUCGGCGCGCCCCGCCGACCCCCGCCGGAGCCCUCCUGCGGCCACCCGGCCUUCGAGCUCUGGUGCAUCGACGGCAACACCACGGCUUCCAUGAGCGGCUCCCCCAUCCACGUCCACAGCAUCGACUACGCCACCCGCUCCUUCGUCGUCUACCACAACAGGGUGGCCUCGGGCACGGACGGCGUGUGUCGCGCCGACUUCAAUGUCUCAUCCAGCCUAGCUCUCAGCCCGUUCAAGAUCAGCCCUAGCAAUCAAGCCAUGUGCUUCCUGUCCAACUGCAACGGGACGGAGCCUCACGGGCCCCAGUACGUGAACUUCACCGGCGUGCCCAGCUGCGGCAAGCCCAUCUUCGCGUACCUCGGCGGGAGCUACGACCGGGACAGGCCGCCGGCGAUCGACACCGGGACCUGCACGUACAAUUACCUGCCGGUGCUGGGGUCGGAGGCGGCGGCCUCGACGGCGGCCAACUACACCCGGCUCCUGAAGGCCGGGUUCCUGCUGGACUGGGCGGGCGCCGGCAUCGGCGACUGCCCCGCCUGCGUCGUGACCGGCAGGCAGUGCCGGUACAGCAACGCGACCGCGGCGUUCGGAUGCAUCUGCCCUGGUGACGGGAGGCUCCGCGGCCCGACAUGCGCCGGGAAAGGAAAAUCAACAAGAUGGGAGAUUAUAGUUGGACCAGUAUGCGGGGCUGUAUUCAUGUUCGCGGUGUGUUCCGGUUGUUUUGCCUGGUACAAACGCAAGAAGCGGAGACAAGCUGUAGCUUCAAAUGAGUUCAUGAGAAGUGGAUCAAUGACAUCAUACAGUAAAGACCUCGAGUUGGAUGGUUCUCCUCAUAUCUUCACUUUCGAGGAGCUUGAAGAAGCUACUGAUGGGUUUAGUGCUUCAAGGGAGCUUGGUGAUGGUGGUUUUGGAACUGUCUACAAAGGAAAACUCAAGGAUGGGAGAGUAGUUGCGGUGAAACGCCUAUACAAGAACAACUACAGACGGGUUGAGCAGUUCCUGAAUGAGGUUGACAUCUUGUCACGCCUGCUCCACCAGAACCUUGUGAUCUUAUAUGGUUGCACGUCUCGGAUGAGCCGUGACCUUCUCCUGGUGUACGAGUUCAUCGCAAAUGGGACGGUCGCAGACCAUCUUCACGGGUCCCGUGCGGCCGAACGAGGCCUCACAUGGCCUCUGAGGCUGAACAUCGCCAUAGAAACGGCUGAAGCACUGGCCUACCUCCAUGCCGUGGAGAUCAUACACCGAGACGUGAAGACAACCAACAUAUUGCUCGACAACAGCUUCCAUGUCAAAGUUGCAGACUUCGGGUUGUCACGCCUGUUCCCGCUUGAGGUCACCCAUGUGUCGACUGUUCCACAGGGCACACCGGGCUAUGUCGACCCGGUGUACCACCAGUGCUACAAGCUGACCGACAAGAGUGAUGUCUACAGCUUCGGCGUCGUGUUGGUGGAGCUGAUAUCAUCGAAACCUGCUGUGGACAUGAGCAGGAGCCACAGUGAGAUCAACCUGGCAAACAUGGCCCUCAACAGGAUUCAGAACCAUCUAGUUGUUCAGCUGGUUGAUCCGGAGCUCGGCUAUGACACCAACCUCGAAACGAAGAGGACGAUCGAUCGCGUCGCGGAGGUGGCCUUCCAGUGCUUGCAGCUGGAGAGGGAUCUGAGGCCGUCGAUCAAGGAGGUGGUGGAGAUCCUGACUUGCGUCAGGGACGGAGACUGUGGGGCUAAUAGCAUGAAGAAGAAGGCGUCUCAGAAAGAGGACGUGUGCUUGCUCAAGGAUGGCCUGCAGUUCUCGCCCGACACUGUUAUACAUAGAUUCCAUAGCCAGUCGACUAACCACUCGGUAGCAUCAAAUGCUAGUGGAUUAUCUAACAACAAAUGCUGA
rnacentral:rRNA from 1 species